CCCCCAUGCUAACAGGCGCCGGAUCACCAUCUCUUGAUUUCGCUUUGCGUCUGUUUCCUUAGUGCCUCACUGCAGCUCUGUCCGCAGGACUUGCUCAGGAAAUGGUUGCUGGGUUGGAUUGGGGUUGAAGACAAGCGGAUUGGCCUGGAAUCCUCAAACCUGACUCCUUGGGGUGCCCACACUUGGGGCCAGCUCUGCAGUGGAGCCACGUGGGACAACGAUGCUGCUUUUUACCCCUGAAUAUCCUUCAGAAGUUUGGAGACAGAGGCUGGGUACCCCAAACCCCCUUCCAAACACCAGUCGGCCCCCAUUCCGUCUAUCUGACAGGCAUCCUGUGACCCAGACACCCCCAGGUUUCAAGAAGCCCUCCUGGAGACGGGGCUCAGGAACAAGCACUCCCCUCCAGAAGAGAAGCUGUCCUAUUCACAGUGGAUCCCCAGCAGUAAUCUGGCAGGGAUUAGACACUCGA